rnacentral:rRNA from 1 species
CCUACGGGUGGCAGCAGUGAGGAAUAUUGGUCAAUGGCCGGGAGGCUGAACCAGCCAAGUCGCGUGAGGGAAGACGGCCCUACGGGUUGUAAACCUCUUUUGUCAGGGAGCAAGGUGCAGGUCGGGACCUGCUGUGAGAGUACCUGAAGAAAAAGCAUCGGCUAACUCCGUGCCAGCAGCCGCGGUAAUACGGAGGAUGAGAGCGUUAUCCGGAUUUAUUGGGUUAAAAGGGUGCGCAGGCGGAGGCACAAGUCAGCGGUAAAAUGGCGGGGCGAAACCCCGCUCCGCCGUGGAACCGGUGUCCCUGGAGUGCGCGAAGGGUAGGCGGAAUGCGUGGUGUAGCGGUGAAAGG